CGGGCGUGGUGGUGGGGG
rnacentral:miRNA from 1 species